rnacentral:lncRNA from 1 species
UAGAAUUCAAAUUUCCAGGCCUUUUUACUCCUUCCUUUCAUGUUUCAAGGAGCUGCUGCCCACAUGGGAUGGCAAUAUGCUGUCACCAUCAGUGCACCUGCACGGAGGACAGAAGAAGAGCAGCUCCCUUCUGUGAGUCACCGUGCUCCCAUCUGAAACAUUGGGUAAUAUUAGCAAGGAGUCUCAUAAAGGACCACCAAGAACUUCAUUACAUGCUCUGUGAAGCACAUUUGGACUGCCUUUCCACAGUCAACUUAAUCUGGUGGAAUACAAGCAAUAUUCUCAUAUGUAUCACAACUGGAUAUAUAAAGGAAGACCUGCAGUGUACUAAACACUUGGGUUUCAGGGUUUGAAAUUGUUUCUGUGUUCAUGGGAAAAAUCAAUCCAAGGAGUCAAACCUACACAAGCAAUGUUUCUGCUAUCUGCUGUGCCUUCUCUCCACUCUAUUGGCCCUUACAGACAACCCACUCCAGAGGUUUUCCUGAGCUCUACUCAGGAUUUUGGAUCUCUAGCUUCACACAAAACUGAGCAUUCUUUUCUUCUUGUUCAUCUAUAUAAGGCAAGCUCCCCAAAACCACAGCUUAGUCACUUCCCAAAUGUGUGAGAUUUCCAAUGACAAAGAGCUGGUAAUUUUCAUUGCCUCAGCAUUCCCUCCUCACUGAAAGAAACCAGGGCAACCAGAGGUUGGGAUUUCCCUGACCCUCCAGAUAAGCCCCUUCCCUACUGGAGCUAUAGCAAUGAUGUCUGAUAUUCAUACAUCUUGAGUGAACUCCAGAACUGUAGCAAAAAUAUAUAUUUAAAAAGCCCAAAAAAACAAACCUAACUCAUCAUUAUCUGCAUAUAGCAAAAUGUAGAAGGGAAGGAUUCUUCUGAUAUAAAUUUUUUCACAAGUCCUCACAAUUAAUGGCUUGAGUCUCUCGGCAUUUUUUGCUGGAGACAGCAGAGCACGGCUGUGUGUAGGAAGGCAACAUGCUGUCACCUACAAGCCGGGUAUUUGUGCUCCGGAGAGCUGCCUGCUGUGCAGCCAGACGCAAGCUGAGUGCUGCGGAUACAGAUGCGGUGAGCCUGCGGGGCCGGAGGGCAGGAAUGCGGCCGGAGCCGAGCCCCCAGCAGAGGGUGGGCUCUGACCGCGCAGGAAAGAGCUGCGGAGAGGGAAUCCCUGCUGCUGCCCGGGGGGAGACAAGGGGGUGCCAUGGCCCGCCUUUCUGAGGUUGUACUGCUGUCUGCUUGGGGCGGGGGGUGAAAUCUGGCUUCCCCGAUAGAAGCUGAACGUCCUUGUCCUCCUCCAAGUCACGGAGCUCUCAGCAGCAGAGCUCACUGCACACUGAAAAGACAUGUUUGUGUGAAUUAAUC